rnacentral:rRNA from 1 species
GGGCCCGCACAAGCGGUGGAGUAUGUGGUUUAAUUCGAUGCAACGCGAAGAACCUUACCAGGGUUUGACAUCCUGCGAAUCUCUUGGAAACGAGAGAGUGCCUUCGGGAGCGCAGUGACAGGUGGUGCAUGGCUGUCGUCAGCUCGUGUCGUGAGAUGUUGGGUUAAGUCCCGCAACGAGCGCAACCCACGUCUUUAGUUGCCAGCAUUUAGUUGGGCACUCUAGAGAGACCGCCGGUGAUAAGCUGGAGGAAGGUGGGGAUGACGUCAAAUCAUCACGGCCCUUACAUCCUGGGCUACACACGUACUACAAUGGUAAGGACAAUGAGCUGCGAUCCUGCGAAGGCUAGCC